AACUUUCAACAACGGAUCUCUUGGUUCNUCNGGCAUCGAUGAAGAACGCAGCGAAAUGCGAUAAGUAAUGUGAAUUGCAGAAUUCAGUGAAUCAUCGAAUCUUUGAACGCACAUUGCGCCCCCUGGUAUUCCGGGGGGCAUGCCUGUUCGAGCGUCAUU
rnacentral:rRNA from 1 species